CUAUCAGCAUGGCGAAACGAAGUCAGGAAGAAGAAAAUUUUGGCCUCCAAGCUAAAGAAAUCGUCCAAUUGCAAGGUUAGACAUGAUCGUGAACGAUGGAUGACUGAUCACAUCAUAUCAUCAGUCUAUCGAUUACAAGACAUGGCGGCCCGGCAGACACCUCUGUUGACAGCUCCAAACAUGUGGCUUGGGUAUUAAUAGUCUCUGGCAACAUUCCGCGAGUGUGCGACGACGGAACACACCACAAAGUAACUAGAGACCUGUUCUUCUUGGAUACCAAGAAGUGAGCAAACAACUGCCAACUUUGAAUGUGAAAGAAAGAGAGUAGAAUCGGUAUUCAUUCAAAAGG